rnacentral:rRNA from 1 species
GACGGGGGGGGCAAGUGUUCUUCGGAAUGACUGGGCGUAAAGGGCACGUAGGCGGUGAAUCGGGUUGAAAGUGAAAGUCGCCAAAAAAGUGGCGGAAUGCUCUCGAAACCAAUUCACGUUGAGUGAGACAGAGGAGAGGUGGAAUUUCGUGUGUAGGGGUGAAAUCCGAUAAAUAUACGAAGGAACGCCGAAAAGCGAAGGCAGCUCGUCUG